UACACCCAUUAUUAACUAUAACACAAAGUCCUCAACUCUUGUAUGGAAAAACUCCUUGCGAGCAAACCAAAGAUGGAGUGAAAAAGGCAUUACGGGGCCAACGAAGUUGGAAGGGUAAUGCAUCUCGCUGUGCUUCUCUGUCUGCCUUCUGGUUUACAACCCUGCUUUUCUGCUUAGUGCUGAUCUUCCAUUUCUUCCUGUGCCUUUCUCGCCCAAGACACUUCACACAUCUCGCUGUGGCACUGCGCCCUCUGCUGAUCUUUCAACCCGCAAGCAAAUGUCAUAAUAAGCAAAUAAACAGGGAAGAACAUGUCGGCGUCUACAGACACUGGAAAGAAGCUGAAAAAGAGUUGUCUGAAGUGUUGAAAGAAAGCAUGGCUGGAACAGAGAUGUCCCACCCCCCAGGAGCCUUUGCGAACAACUCUCCCUGCGGGCUUCUCAGCUCCUCCAGGAACAGGGCUGCCUGUUGCCACAGCACCCCAUCAAGUCUUCAGCUCUCCUGGCAACGUCAGGAAGCUCCAUGGUAACCCCAGCAACCCUGCGAGAUGCGCUGAGGUGGAAGAGAAUGACCGGCUCAAAGUCACCCAGAGAGUCCAACCCAACCUUUAAACCACUACUGUGUCACAACUGAGAAGUCCCCUUUUGGUCCUCUUUUUACCCCAACCAGCCUUCCACAAUCACAUCCAGUAAACCAAGGUGAGGAAGGCAAACCAGAUAUUUGUACAAAUACUUCCAAUCUAAAUGUCAUCUUCUGUUUGGGGAUAUCACAUAGCGGCUUGCAUUCUCAUCACGCAGCGAACCUGCUUCUGAAUCAACUCAUCUUCUGAGUUUACACAAUAAACUGAAUCCUAUGUUA